rnacentral:tRNA from 1 species
GGGCGAUUGGCGCAGUUGGCUAGCGCGCGACAAUGACACUGUCGAGGUCACUGGUUCGAGCCCAGUAUCGCCCA